GGCUCACCAAGGCGACGAUCAGUAGCGGGUCUGAGAGGAUGAUCCGCACACUGGGACUGAGACACGGCCCAGACUCCUACGGGAGGCAGCAGUGGGAAUUUUGGACAAUGGGCGAAAGCCUGAUCCAGCCAUGCCGCGUGUCUGAAGAAGGCCUUCGGGUUGUAAAGGACUUUUGUCAGGGAGCAAAACUUACUGGUUAAUACCCGGUGAGGCUGAGAGUACCUGAAGAAUAAGCACCGGCUAACUACGUGCCAGCAGCCGCGGUAAUACGUAGGGUGCAAGCGUUAAUCGGAAUUACUGGGCGUAAAGCGUGCGCAGGCGGACUUUUAAGCCAGAUGUGAAAGCCCCGAGCUUAACUUGGGAAUUGCGUUUGGAACUGGGAGUCUAGAGUCUGUCAGAGGGGGAUGGAAUUCCACGUGUAGCAGUGAAAUGCGUAGAGAUGUGGAGGAACACCGAUGGCGAAGGCAGUCCCCUGGGAUAAGACUGACGCUCAUGCACGAAAGCGUGGGGAGC
rnacentral:rRNA from 1 species